rnacentral:rRNA from 1 species
AUGUAUAGCCAUUAAAUGAAAAAUUAACAGAAAUCUGAUUUCGGAAGCUAAGUUGGGUCGGGCCUGGUUAGUACUUGGAAGGGAGACUGCCUGGGAAUACCAGAGGCUGUAGGCU